GUGCGGAUAUGUCUUCGCUCCACCUCGAAUGCGUCAAGGUAAGGCCUGCGUAAAAAUCACUUGUCUUCAUUUUACCUGAAGACUGCAACGCUGAUUAUAUUGCUAUUGCAGCCGUGAUGUUUUCAGCACCGGCUGAGAAGAACAUUCUCAAUAGCCGAAAAAACAAAGAUAGCUGAGCUGUUAGCACAAAUGAUCAGUUCCUCUGUUCCCUCCGAUAAAUAGUUUUCAUGAACCAAGAACCUUGUCUCUAUUAAGCUGGUUUAGACCCCCCAAUU
rnacentral:snRNA from 1 species